UCCGAGUUGACCCCGGCAGUCUCCUGCGAGUCCCCGCCAUUACGCGCUGGCAACACAGGACAAGGGUUGCGCUCGUUGCGGGACUUAACCCAACAUCUCACGACACGAGCUGACGACAGCCAUGCACCACCUGUGCAGGACCCUUGCGGACCCGACAUCUCUGCCGGAUUUCCCUACAUGUCAAACCCUGGUAAGGUUCUUCGCGUUGCGUCGAAUUAAGCCACAUGCUCCGCCGCUUGUGCGGGCCCCCGUCAAUUCCUUUGAGUUUCAUUCUUGCGAACGUACUCCCCAGGUGGUGUGCUUACUGCGUUAACUGCGUCACGGACCCGCAAGGGCCAACAACUAGCAUACAUCGUUUACAGCGUGGACUAC
rnacentral:misc_RNA from 1 species